UUGAUUAUUUUUGCUUGCUUACUCGGAGAUUCCACUAAGAUACAGAAGGGUUUCGUACCUCCGGCGGGCGGCCCCGGACCUCGCGGUCCCGGGCCUCUCCCGCCGAAGCAACGCUGAUGGAUAGGUUCGCGAUGGUUUUAAGCGGCCUUUCGGCGCUCUUGUAAUGAUCCCUCCGCUGGUUCACCAACGGAGA
rnacentral:misc_RNA from 1 species